CCUCGACAGAAAGCAGUGGGAUUUCUCCAGAGGAUUUUGGAAAAUAGCCCGAAAUAAGGCUUUGGAAAUGGUGGUGAUAUAUCAGCGCCGUCCUGCAGCCUUCGGGCAAGGCAGUGCGAUCAGACCUUAUCCAGGUCAUGCCAGUGGGGCAGGAGGUACCAGGAAGAAUGAAGUAAAUCCCGGACACUGUGUCAGCAUCAAGGACUCCUGCUCCAAAGGUUUAUCCAAGAAUUGAAUUAGCCGACUUGCCACGAAAAAUGUGAGCUGUAA